CCCUUAGAUGUUCUGGGCCGCACGCGCGCUACACUGAUGAAUGCAACGAGCUCUACCCUUGACCGAAAGGCCCGGGUAAACUUGUGAAACUUCAUCGUGAUGGGGAUAGAUUAUUGCAAUUAUUAAUCUUCAACGAGGAAUUCCUAGUAAGCGCGAGUCAUCAGCUCGCGUUGAUUACGUCCCUGCCCUUUGUACACACCGCCCGUCGCUCCUACCGAUUGAAUGGUCCGGUGAAAUCUUCGGAUUGCUGACCAAGAUCCAGCAAUGGAGCUUGGUUGCGAGAAGUUGAUUAAACCUCAUUAUUUAGAGGAAGGAGAAGUCGUAACA
rnacentral:rRNA from 1 species